rnacentral:rRNA from 1 species
GCAUAACGCGAAGAACCUUACCGAGGCUUGACAUCUUUCUGACCGCCUGGGAAACCAGGUCUUCUUCCUUCGGGAAGACGGAAGGACAGGUGGUGCAUGGUUGUCGUCAGCUCGUGUCGUGAGAUGUUGGGUUAAGUCCCACAACGAGCGCAACCCUUGUCCUUAUUUGCCAGCCUGUUUACAGGCGUACUUUAAGGAGACUGCCGUAGAUAAUACGGAGGAAGGUGGGGAUGACGUCAAAUCCUCAUGCCCCUUACGUCCCGGGCUACACACGUGCUACAAUGGUCUGUACAGAGGGUAGCCAAGAAGCAAUUCGGAGCCAAUCCCAAAAAGCAGGCCCCAGUUCGGAUUGGAGGCUGCAACUCGCCUCCAUGAAGUCGGAAUCGCUAGUAAUCGCGGAUCAGCACGCCGCGGUG